GAUUAAACUAACUGUAAGUCGCUCUGGAUAAGAGCGUCUGCUAAAUGUGUCACG
rfam:Salmo salar isolate Sally breed double haploid chromosome ssa25, whole genome shotgun sequence.